rnacentral:rRNA from 1 species
AUGAUCUGUUUCAAUUGCAGCUGGCCAGGUCAUUAUGUGGGCAACUGCAUUGAAUCAAAAAAGUGCUUUAUCUGCUGUGGCAAUCACAAUGUGAAUAACUGUGGUGCUUGGGCAAAACCUCAACCCACUGCAACAUAUUUUGGGAGUGCUGCAGCUGGUUUGGGGUUCUACCAUAUUGACACUCCAGUUGCAGCAGAAUCUAGCUGGCUCAACUACAAGAACUGUGCUGUGCUCAAAGUGGUCAAGGGUGAGGUUUCUGCCUCAGAACUGGUGUUGCAGUUAAAUGGGAUUUUUUGCAAGAACAAAGAGUGGCCAUGGCAGAUUAGAGAGUUAGAAAACAAGAAGUUCUUGCUCAGAUUCCCAUCAUGGAAAAUGUGGAUGAUUUGA